AUUGAACGCUGGCGGCAGGCCUAACACAUGCAAGUCGAGCGGAUGAGUGGAGCUUGCUCCAUGAUUCAGCGGCGGACGGGUGAGUAAUGCCCAGGAAUCUGCCUGGUAGUGGGGGACAACGUUUCGAAAGGAACGCUAAUACCGCAUACGUCCUACGGGACAAAGCAGGGGACCUUCGGGCCUUGCGCUAUCAGAUGACCCUAGGUCGGAUUAGCUAGUAGGUGAGGUAAUGGCUCACCUAGGCGACGAUCCGUAACUGGUCUGAGAGGAUGAUCAGUCACACUGGAACUGAGACACGGUCCAGACUCCUACGGGAGGCAGCAGUGGGGAAUAUUGGACAAUGGGCGAAAGACUGAUCCAGCCAUGCCGCGUGUGUGAAGAAGGUCUUCGGAUUGUAAAGCACUUUAAGUUGGGAGGAAGGCAGUAAGUUAAUACCUUGCUGUUUUGACGUUACCAACAGAAUAAGCACCGGCUAACUUCGUGCCAGCAGCCGCCGUAAUAC
rnacentral:rRNA from 1 species